rnacentral:tRNA from 1 species
GCGAGAGUGGCGGAAUUGGCAGACGCGCGGGACUUAGGAUCCCGUGUCCAUGACGUAGGGGUUCAAGUCCCCUCUCUCGCACCA